rnacentral:lncRNA from 1 species
GCCGGGUCUUCUGGGCAUAGGGACUCCUAGAUGAGUGGGGCAGGGGCUGAGGAAUGCAAAUGAGAUGUCAGUGUGCCCUUCCCUCAGCCCAUUCAAAGUCUGUAGCCCUGGAUUGAAUGAACUGGAGGAGAAGCUUAUUUGCCAGGGGAUGGGAAGCAGAAACCCAGGUGUUUGGUUACCUGGGGCCUGCCUCUCCUUCAGCCUGAGAUAUGGAGAGAGCAGGGCUGGAAGGACUCCCUACCCCCACCUCAGCCUCGCUUCCCGCUCUGCGUCCCUACUUGGCUGUCCUUGCUUCAGUCUGCCCCUGCCCCACCUCCCACCUCCAGCUACUGCCCUACAAGUCAAGGAAUGUUUGGGCCCCAGGGGUAGAGCUGGGGGUUGGAUAAGGGUAAGACUGCACAGGGGCCAGAUGGGCUGGUUUGGAGAAGGGUAAUGAGAUCCCAGGAAGAGAGAGGAACCGUGCCACAUGACUCAGCCACCAAGCAGCCCUAUGGAGAGGCCAAUGUGGAGAGAAACUGAGGCCUUCCACCAAAAGCCAGCACCAACUUGCUAUCCAUGUGAGUGAACCAGCUUGCAGUACAGAGUGGUCAACCCCAGUCAAGCUUUCAGAUAACUACAAGCCUAGUUGACAUCUUGACUACAACUUCAAGAGAGACAUCAAGGCAGAACUGCUUCGCUAAACUGCUCUUGAAUUCUUGACCCACAGAAACUGAGAGAGAGAAUAAAUAUUUAUUGUUGUUUCAAGUAACUACAUCCUGG